GAUGAAGUUCCUUCGGGAAUGGAUUAGUGGCGAACGGGUGAGGAACACGUGAGAAACCUGCCUUUCAUUCUGGGAUAACACCGGGAAACCGGCGCUAAUACCGGAUACUCCAUCUUGGCGGCAUCGCCGAGCUGGGAAAAAAUUUUGAUGAAAGAUGGUCUCGCGGCCUAUCAGCUAGUUGGUGAGGUAAAGGCUCACCAAGGCGACGACGGGUAGCCGGCCUGAGAGGGCGACCGGCCACACUGGGACUGAGACACGGCCCAGACUCCUACGGGAGGCAGCAGUAGGGAAUAUUGGGCAAUGGGCGAAAGCCUGACCCAGCGACGCCGCGUGAGGGAUGAAGGUCUUCGGAUUGUAAACCUCUUUCAGUAGGGAAGAAGCGAAAGUGACGGUACCUAAAGAAGAAGCACCGGCUAACUAUGUGCCAGCAGCCGCGGUAAUACAUAGGGUGCAAGCGUUGUCCGGAAUUAUUGGGCGUAAAGAGCUCGUAGGUCGUUUGUCGCGUCGAUUGUGAAAAUCUGAGGCUCAACCUCAGACCUGCAGUCGAUACGGGCAAACUAGAGUGUGGUAGGGGAGACUGGAAUUCCUGGUGUAGCGGUGGAAUGCGCAGAUAUCAGGAGGAACACCAAUGGCGAAGGCAGGUCUCUGGGCCAUAACUGACACUGAGGAGCGAAAGUGCGGGGAGCGAACAGGAUUAGAUACCCUGGUAGUCCGCACCGUAAACGGUGGGCACUAGUUGUGGGAACCUUCCACGGUUUCCGCGACGCAGCAAACGCAUUAAGUGCCCCGCCUGGGGAGUACGAUCGNCAGAUUAAAACUCAAAG
rnacentral:rRNA from 1 species